rnacentral:lncRNA from 13 species
UAAAGGCGGAGGACUAGUGUCCAAGGAGCCCUAGAACAUCAACAUUUGCCUAAUCCACUAGUAAUGGAGGUUAUGGGCGCCUCAGCCAGAAAAAUACUCAGAGCCUCUCGGCCUGAGGCAAUUUGCAUAACAUUAAGACUUUCCAACAAAGUGCAUUAUGCUCUUAUUGGUUUAGUUUCUCACCAGGUCUCGUGUAGCUUUGGUAUCGCACACAGAAGAAAGCAUCUAAACGUCAAUGUGGUUCCUGUUUGGAUUAAAAACCUACUGAAAUACCCUACUACAUGUAUGGGCUGGCAGACAUGUUGGAUUUGGGAUCAGAGCUGAGCUGAGUCGGCCUCACAGUUUGGUGUCCUGGGUCUUUAGUGAGAGUACAGCAGCGCUGGGUAUGUUGAAAGAAUGACUUAUUUUGAUAUUGCUGAAAAUAAUGUGCUCUACCUAUCCAUCUAUCCAUCUAACGCAACACAUAGUGACAGAGAAUCAGGCUUUGACUGCAGGCAGGGUAACACUGUGCUGUGUGCUUGCUUGGACAUGACUUACGCCAUUGUAGCCUACAACUGGGAAUUGUAUGGUAAAGUCUCUGACCCGAGGUUGCUAUAGUUACAGUGAGUGUUUACUUUAACAUACUCAACAAAACCUGAGGAUGUUAUUAUAGCCUUUCACCAGAUUCAGUCCUCAUGUCAUAUGGACAGGUUUGUGCAGGUCUUCAUCUUAUUGUGCUUUGCAUGUGGGAACCCUGAGACCUGAGGCUAUUGAGGCCAGCCUAGAUCUGUCCUCUCUCUACUCUCUGUCUCAAUUCAAUUCAAAUGGCUUUAUUGGCAUGGGAAACAUAUGUUUACAUUGCCAAAGCAAGUGAAAUAGACAAUAAACAAAAGUGAAAUAAACAAUCUAUCUUUCUUGCUCUCUCUCUCUCUCUCUCUCUCUAUCUCUCUCUUUCUCCCAGUCUGUCAGUAAUACACACUUAUUAUAAUGUUUUAUUGUAUUUUAUUGAACCUUUAUUUUACACUCGUUGUAGGGGAGAAGGUUCAUUUAGGAGAUGGCUUCAUUACUUGCCUUAGCACCGUGGAGUAUUGCUGAACCCAGUGGGCCAUAGUUAUUUCCUGCUGCUCGCAUUGGACAGGAUAGGAUGGGAAACAAUGACUGGUGUCAAAUAAUUAGUGCAGUGAGAAUCUUGGCUGUACUUAAGCAGGCUCCAGAUCAGUUGUAGCUGAUGGGGAUUGUUACCUUACUGUGUCUUCCCUUUCUCUCUCUAAAUAAUGCUAAAUGUGUCCAUGGUGGGCGUGAGUACAACGGCUCUUACAUACUGAGUACCCAAUUAUAUGAAUGUCAUGACAAUUUCACCUGCCAAGGUGACACGCCAGGCUAAAACUAAUGGUGUCUCAUUAGCCCUGUUCUGUGUGUCUUAUUUUGGUCGGGUGAGACAGAAGCAUUAACAGCUGUUUUCUCAUCAGCUGCUAGGUGAACCUCUGUCAUGGCUGUUUAGAGGCAGAUAGAUUACUACUGUGGCAUACUUCUGACGGCCAAAUGAGAAAACAGGAUUUUCAUGCAUAAUGCACUUCCUCAAACAAGCCUGGAUACACUUGACAAUUAUUAUUAUUAUUUAUUUUCUUUAUUAUUGGUACGCAAGUUGCAAAACAAAAAUAAACAAAUUGCACAAACAUUGUAUUUUAGGGAAGAAAACUUGACAAUGUAACGGUAAAAUGAAAUUCUGAUUUUUUACAAUAAACAGAAUUAUCUUUAAUCACAUUCUACAUGUUGAAUAAUUUCAUUAUACACAGUUUAAUGUGUGCUAUUUCAUAAGCUGUAAGGCUCUGGAAAUGUUCAUAGUUAUUGGUGGAACAGACACAUUUAUUGAACAGAAAAUAACCAUCAUCUGGAUUCCAUGAAUGUACAAUUAUCUAUGACCAUUGAUUCCUCAUACAUGUUUGAAGUGUUUUCUCUUUGUUUCUGUAUUAAGCCUCUGUAGUCCUUGUCAAUAAAAUAUAUAUCAUUAUGGUCUAUGAUUUACUGUAUCCAAAUACAGUGUCUUAUUGAAAGAUGCACUGUAUUCUCCAUCACAUCAAACAGUUCAUGUAUUUAAAGGUGACAUCAAUUUGAAUUUGACUGCACUGCCAAUAGUCCAAGUAGUUCCCUCCCCUCUUGUAAAUAUAUUAUUUUUCUAUGGAGA